GACGAACGCCGGCGGCGUGCUUAACACAUGCAAGUCGAACGGAAAGGCCCUGCUUUUGUGGGGUGCUCGAGUGGCGAACGGGUGAGUAACACGUGAGUAACCUGCCCUUGACUUUGGGAUAACUUCAGGAAACUGGGGCUAAUACCGGAUAGGAGCUCCUGCUGCAUGGUGGGGUUGGAAAGUUUCGGCGGUUGGGGAUGGACUCGCGGCUUAUCAGCUUGUUGGUGGGGUAGUGGCUUACCAAGGCUUUGACGGGUAGCCGGCCUGAGAGGGUGACCGGCCACAUUGGGACUGAGAUACGGCCCAGACUCCUACGGGAGGCAGCAGUGGGGAAUAUUGCACAAUGGGCGGAAGCCUGAUGCAGCAACGCCGCGUGCGGGAUGACGGCCUUCGGGUUGUAAACCGCUUUCGCCUGUGACGAAGCGUGAGUGACGGUAAUGGGUAAAGAAGCACCGGCUAACUACGUG
rnacentral:rRNA from 1 species